AUCACAUCAACUGACCACAGGGGUUCCUCAGGGUUCAGUGCUUGGACCCCUCCUCUUCUCCAUUUACACUACAUCACUUGGUCCCAUCAUUCAGGCACACGGUUUCUCCUACCAUUGCUAUGCUGAUGACACACAACUCUUCCUUUCAUUCCAACCAGACGAUCCCACAGUAGCUGCACGAAUCUCAAGCUGUCUGGCGGACAUCUCGGCAUGGAUGAAGGAACAUCAUCUACAGCUCAACCUGGCAAAGACCUAGCUUCUCAUCUUCCCUGCCAAUCCGACUCUAAAUCAUGAUUUCAGCAUCCAGCUAGGCACAUCUUCUAUUACCCCAUCAAAUUCGGCCAGAAAUCUUGGAGUAAUCCUUGAUGACCAACUGACCUUCAAAGACCACAUUGCGAAGACAGCUCAGUCAUGCAGAUUUGCACUAUACAACAUCAGGAAAAUCAGGCCCUUUCUAACAGAACAUGCAACACAACUUCUGGUCCAGGCCCUGGUCAUUUCUAGGCUUGAUUACUGCAAUGCUCUUCUGGCUGGACGGCCAUCAUGCACACUCAGACCUCUACAAAUGAUUCAGAACGCUGCAGCACGUCUCGUCUUCAACGAGCCCAAAAGAGCCCAUGUCACGCCUCUCUUCAUCUCUCUUCACUGGCUACCAAUUGCUGCUCGCAUCAAAUUCAAGGCGUUGACGCUUGCUUACAGAUCUGCCACAGGCUCUGCACCCUCCUACUUCCACUCACUCUUACGAGUCUACACUCCUACCAGAAGCCUACGCUCAUUAAAGGAGGUACCAUCACAGAGAGGCACGAAAUCACUCUCCAGGACAUUCUCGUUCACUGUUCCUUGCUGGUGGAACGAUCUUCCUGCCUUUAUCCGGAAUACAGAAUCCCUGGCAAUAUUCAAAAGACAGCUGAAAACUCAUCUCUUUCGUGAGCACUUAACCUCAUCUUAAAAAAAAAAAAAAAAAAAAAAAAAAAAAAAAAUUAUACCUAUCCUUUCACUUCCUCUAACCCCUCUCUAUUGUAGCUUAUGAUACUCUGAGCAUUACCUAAGACUUGUAUUGUCAGCACUUUUUGUGUCUAUUUGCCUCGUCAUGACGACUCGCUUGUUGUAUUCCUCACUUGUAAGUCGCUUUGGAUAAAAGCGUCUGCCAAAUGAAUAAAUGAAGCACAAUGAUGACCUCACAGAACUCAUAACAGAACAUUAAACACUAACAGAUCUCUCUAGAUCUCAGCAUCUUCACUUAUUACAAACCACUCUGACUUUGUUUCAUUCAUACAAAUCUUCUUAAUGAGGUGUUGAUGUUGUAUCAAAAAUUAUAAACGUUACCAUUAAGGAGGUAAGCGCUUGCUUUAGUUUGGCUCCUGACCCUUGACAUUUUAACUUUAUUUUUUCUCCAGUUGUUGUAGCUGUGUGUUUAUAAAGCACCUUUGUUACAAAAAAAAUUGUGAGGAAAAAAAACAUCUGAUCAAGUGGAUUUGGUUGUAAGACUGCAGUGGCCUUAUUCACUGAUCUCUGAAUAUUGUGUUCUUUUCAUGUUGUUGUAGUCCUAUCAUAAUGCAUACAAUCCUGUCCUGCUUUGAUAUUUUGAACAUUUUUUUAUCGUUUUCAGAUGAACAGAUCAGUUCUGAGCAUCACAAAACAAGCUGCUAAAAUCACAAAAAAGAUUUUUGUUUAUUGUCAUCAUUGUUGAGGUUUAUAUGCUGAUUCAUGAUGUCUGUGUGAGUCUAAGAGACACUGCUCAAAACUCUGUUUAAUAAGUUAAAAAAAAAGAUAAAACUCAUAAAAAAAAAGAAAAAAACGAACUGUUAAUUAAUGCAAAAGUAACAGUUAAUACACUCAGAGUUUAGUCUCUGGAGAGGAUCAGUGAAUCAGGACACUCCAUGAUGUCUAGUAACAUUCCCAGUACGUUCAGAGACAGUCAUGAUGUACGUAUACUUUAUUCCUUCAUCCAUUCAUGCAGUAUCUGUGUUAGUUCCUCUCAUCAGGCGAGUGUGUGUCAGACGACAUCUCUCUCUCUCUGACCCGACGCACCAGAUUAGGAAUUUCAAAGAGUGUUAAAUAAAUAAAAAAUAUGUACUUUUUUUUUUUUCAUCUGACCAAUCUGGAGGAUUUGAGGGCCACAAAUUGAUUGGUCAGAUGACAAAAGACUUCCUGGGCAAAAGAGCAAUAACACCAUCUCUAAAGCACUGAACAAACAAACCACCAUGACUGAAGAUUUGACUGUGUGAGGUGACUCUACGGGUCCAUCCGUUCAGAGGAACUGUGGCUCCGUAUCUCGGAUGAUUCUGUCCUGAUGUGUCUGAUGAUUGACAAAAUCACAGGCAACAACACAAAGGUGAUUCUGAGUCUGAGCCCAGCUUAAAGUCUGCGCGUGUCACAAACGAGUCCUGCAGUUCCUUCUGCUCGCCACCAGAGGGAUGCCUCUCCCAAAUAUUAAUCCCCUUUGGACUACAUUUCCCUCUCACGUACCUGUCACCCUUGCACCUGACUCUCAUCAGUGGACUAUUUAUGUGGACUAUCUCAGACUCUACCUCAAUGUGAAGAUUUGUUUUUCCCCUGUGUCUUGCCUUCCCGUGGAUUACCUUUGGACUGUUUGUUCUCUUUGUGAUUCUCUGCUGCCUGCCCUGGACUGUUUUCUAUAGGACUGAUUUAUGAUUGUUUGCUGCCGACCCUGACCUCAUGUCUGUUUCUGGAUUACGAGCUGCCUUCUCUCUGCUGUUGUGUUUGUUGGUGAUUGACCUUGAUUGUACGACCAAGUUUAUAUUAAAGCUUCAAAUGGAUCCUCACUUUGCUGAAGCUUCCUUACAACAUGAAACAGAAAAGAUUAGUCACUUCUGUUCAUUUGUCACACUGUAAAACAAAACUUUAUUAAUAAUAUAGCACAAUAACUCUUUAAAUUACCUGUUACCUCAAAUAAACAACCAAGAAGCAAGAAAACUAUAUUAAAUACACUAAAUUCUCUCCUCCACCUCUUCAACAGCUGAUGAUUUUGCUCAUUACUUCACAUAAAAAACUACACAAUCAGAGGUCAGUUCUUAGUUUCACACAUCCAGGGAAUUACUCUAAUCACCUUCACAGAUGAUGAUCUCAGGUUCUGGUAAACGUCACUAAACACUAUAAAUACAGACCUGUCUCUCUCCAUCCAUUCAUAGCAAAAACACUUGAUCGAGUUGUUUUCAAACAGGUAUCAUCUUUCCUCUCACAGAACAACCAGCUGAACGGUAACUGCUCAACUGAGACUGCACUACUGUCGGUCACUGAAUCCCUGCGGAUGAUGAAGGCUGAUUCCAAAUCAUCAGUUCUCAUUCUGCUGCCUUUGACACGGUGAAUCAUCAGAUCCUUCUGUCUAUCCUCUCAUCACUGGACAUCACAGGAGCUCCACUUCACUGGUUUGAAUCCUAUCUCACAGGAAGGUGUUUCAGGGUUGCCUGGAGAGGGGAGGUAUCCAGAUCACAUCAACUGACCACUAGGGGUCCUCAGGGUUCAGUUCUUGGACCUCUCCUCUUCUCUACAUACACUACAUCACUUGGUCCCAUCAUUCAGGCACACGGUUUCUCCUACCAUUGCUAUGCUGAUGACACACAACUCUUCCUUUCAUUCCAACCAGAUGAUCCCACAGUAGCUGCACGAAUCUCAAGCUGUCUGGCGGACAUCUUGGCAUGGAUGAAGGAACAUCACCUACAGCUUAACCUGGCAAAGACCUAGCUUCUCAUCUUCCCUGCCAAAAAGCAUGAUUUCACCAUCCACCUAGGUACAUCCUCAAUUACCCCAUCAAAUUCAGCCAAAGAUCUUGGAGUAAUCCUUGAUGAUUAACUGACCUUCAAAGACCACAUUGCGAAGACAGCUCGGUCAUGCAGAUUUGCACUAUACAACAUCAGGAAAAUCAGGCCCUUUCUAACAGAACAUGCAACACAACUUCUGGUCCAGGCCCUGGUCAUUUCUAGGCUUGAUUACUGCAAUGCUCUUCUGGCUGGACGGCCAUCAUGCACAAUCAGGCCUCUACAAAUGAUUCAGAACGCUGCAGCACGUCUCGUCUUCAACAAGCCCAAAAAAGCGGAUGUCACGCCUCUCUUCAUCUCUCUUCACUGGCUACCAAUUGCUGCUCGCAUCAAGUUCAAGGCGUUGACGCUUGCUUACAGAUCUGCCACAGGCUCUGCACCCUCCUACUUCCACUCACUCUUACGAGUAUAAACUCCUACCAGAAGCCUACACUCAUUAAAGGAGGUACCAUCACAGAGAGGCACAAAAUCACUCUCCAGGACAUUCUCGUUCACUGUUCCUUGCUGGUGGAACGAUCUCCCCGCCUUCAUCCGGAAUACAGAAUCCCUGGCAAUAUUGCUGAAAUGAGCUGAAAACUCAUCUCUUUCGUGAGCACUAAAUAUCAUCUUGAAAAAACUAUGCUUUCACUUCCUCCCUAUUCUAUCUUAUGAUACUCUGAGCAAUGUCUGAAACUUGUAUUGUCAGCACUUCUUGUGUCUUUUUGCCUCUUCAUGAUGAUUCGCUUGUUGUAUUCCUCACUUGUAAGUCGCUUUGGAUAAAAGCAUCUGCCAAAUGAAUAAAUGUGAAUGUAAAUAACAUUUGUGAAGAGUUAACUCCUAUUUCAUGAAGGUAUUUAUCUUUCA